rnacentral:lncRNA from 1 species
UAAUUAUAAAAAUAACAACGUAAAAGUGUUUGUGAAUGAGCAAUGUGGGUUACCGUAUGUAAACUUAUUUGUCGAGGUCAUGAUUGUAUAUUUUAUGAAUUUACAAAGAUGAAAAAUCAUAAUUUACUUAGAUAUAUGUGAUAAUUAUACUUAUCUUGAUUUUAUGAGGUACAAAGAUAAAGUGAAGUGCAUCUCAUCCAAUACUUCCAUGUGGACGAUACUCAUGGUGUAUACUCCUUUCAUCCGUUUAGGUUACUCUGUCAUAACCACAACUGUUUUUGACAUUAAUAUCCUUCUUAUAAGUAAAUAAAAUUAACUAUAUAAAACAUGUUAUGGUAGAGACAACCCAAUAUUGAGGAUUGUUUGACUGAGGGAGCUAAGCUUCUUUAAAAGAAACAAUGGCAAAACAUCAGGUGCAAAAAAAAUAUAUCAUCAUACACAACAGCCCCUUAUUCAGUCAAUUCAAUUAUUUAGAAACGGUCAUCAAAAUUUCAAAUAUUAGGAUAUUCAGUUUCUUCUACAUAAGCUAAUCAAGCAGCCCCUUUCAAAAUCCGUUCUAUUUAUACACCAUAUCCACCGGUCAAAAUGAUUUUUUUUCCUCUGAAAUCCUCUUUCAACCACCCACUAUUUGUAGCACACCAAAUUCUGGCAAGGUUCUGAAUUCGGAUAAACACAAGACUACACCUUCAGAUACAAGUCACUCUUUCAGUCUUUCUUCAGAUAUGCGGCCAAUUAACUUUAUUUACUUUACUGGCCAACAGAAAAUUUAAGCAAAAGAAUAAUAGGAACCUAAGGUCAUUAAACAAAAUUUGCAGGAAUCCACAAGCAUAUACCAUAAAUUUGCGAUCCCAGAGAAAUUAGUAAAGAGUUUGUAUAAUCCAAACAUAAUAAUAAAUGCUUUACUGCAUAAAAUUGUACAUUUUGUAGUUAGCAUUCUGAUUACAUGUCACAAAUCCCAUGUCCAACUAAUAACUCGUGUUGAGAGACUACAUAUUUUGGCUAAUGAAUAACAUUAAAGAAUAACAAAUGUAAAGGAAAAGAAAACACCAAACAAAGCCUGCAUCAUCAUUUGUUUAAACCAAAUUAAACAUACUUUUUCUCAAUUUGAGUUCAAAUUUUUUUUAGCAAAGAUAAUAAAAAAUUACUUUGAGUUUUGAUUAUUACUUAUAAUAUAAGCACAAACUUAUGGACCAUCGUUUAAAUAAAAUUAGCUGGUUGAACCAUUAGAGACCUAACUGAAUAGUAACUUCUCAUCUCAAUCCGGAUACCCCAUCCAAAGAAAAAAAAAUCAGUAAUAUAUAUACACACACAUACAUAUACUGAACUUCUAAAAGUUAAAACUCAACAAUCUCAAACUGAAUUAGAAGAAUGAAGAAGGCACAAUCGUUCUUUAAAAAUUGAGCACAAUAAAAAAUAUAAUCGUUUACCUAAAGUUUGUUUGUAUGUUUUGGCCCAAAAACAUUGUUUUGUGGAGAAGAAGAACAAGGAACGGAGGAACAACUUCAAUAACAAUCAUGUCUUUUUUUCAAAUCUGAAGCAUUGGGUAACCCGGAGUUUUUAGUAGGCGUAAGCGUUGUGUCUUUUAGUUUUGCA